rnacentral:rRNA from 1 species
GAUGAACGCUGGCGGUCUGCUUAACACAUGCAAGUCGAACGGAAUCUUCGGGAUUUAGUGGCGGACGGGUGAGUAACGCGUGAGGAUCUGCCUUCAGGACGGGGACAACAGUUGGAAACGACUGCUGAGACCCGAUGUGCCGAGAGGUGAAAUUAAUUUAGCCUGAAGAUGAACUCGCGUCGGAUUAGCUAGUUGGAGUGGUAACGGCACACCAAGGCGACGAUCCGUAGCUGGUCUGAGAGGAUGACCAGCCACACUGGGACUGAGACACGGCCCAGACUCCUACGGGAGGCAGCAGUGGGGAAUUUUCCGCAAUGGGCGAAAGCCUGACGGAGCAAGACCGCGUGGGGGAGGAAGGUCUGUGGAUUGUAAACCCCUUUUGUCAGGGAAGAAUCAAAUGACGGUACCUGACGAAUCAGCCUCGGCUAACUCCGUGCCAGCAGCCGCGGUAAUACGGAGGAGGCAAGCGUUAUCCGGAAUUAUUGGGCGUAAAGCGUCCGCAGGUGGUUAUACAAGUCUGCUGUCAAAGCGCGAGGCUCAACUUCGUACCGGCAGUGGAAACUGUAGGACUAGAGAAUGAUAGGGGCAGAGGGAAUUCCCAGUGUAGCGGUGAAAUGCGUAGAGAUUGGGAAGAACACCGGUGGCGAAAGCGCUCUGCUGGGUCAUAUCUGACACUGAGGGACGAAAGCUAGGGGAGCGAAAGGGAUUAGAUACCCCUGUAGUCCUAGCCGUAAACGAUGGACACUAGGCGUUGACCG